GCUGUGAGCUCGAUGAGUAGGGCGGGACACGUGGUAUCCUGUCUGAAUAUGGGGGGACCAUCCUCCAAGGCUAAAUACUCCUGACUGACCGAUAGUGAACCAGUACCGUGAGGGAAAGGCGAAAAGAACCCCGGCGAGGGGAGUGAAAAAGAACCUGAAACCGUGUACGUACAAGCAGUGGGAGCCCCACCACUAAGCCAGUGGUGAACUCCACAUCCGCAUCCUUUGCUGAGGAUACGGUUAACGGAGCGAAAGCGACGUUCAACCGCAAAACAAGCAGAGGGGGCUUAGUGGUGGGGUGACUGCGUACCUUUUGUAUAAUGGGUCAGCGACUUAUAUUCUGUAGCAAGGUUAACCGAAUAGGGGAGCCGGAGGGAAACCGAGUCUUAAUUGGGCGUUAAGUUGCAGGGUAUAGACCCGAAACCCGGUGAUCUAGCCAUGGGCAGGUUGAAGGUUGGGUAACACUAACUGGAGGACCGAACCGACUAAUGUUGAAAAAUUAGCGGAUGACCUGUGGCUGGGGGUGAAAGGCCAAUCAAACCGGGAGAUAGCUGGUUCUCCCCGAAAGCUAUUUAGGUAGCGCCUCGUGAAUUCAUCUCCGGGGGUAGAGCACUGUUUCGGCUAGGGGGCCAUCCCGGCUUACCAACCCGAUGCAAACUGCGAAUACCGGAGAAUGUUAUCACGGGAGACACACGGCGGGUGCUAACGUCCGUCGUGAAGAGGGAAACAACCCAGACCGCCAGCUAAGGUCCCAAAGUCAUGGUUAAGUGGGAAACGAUGUGGGAAGGCCCAGACAGCCAGGAUGUUGGCUUAGAAGCAGCCAUCAUUUAAAGAAAGCGUAAUAGCUCACUGGUCGAGUCGGCCUGCGCGGAAGAUGUAACGGGGCUAAACCAUGCACCGAAGCUGCGGCAGCGAACGUAUCACCCAAGACAACUUUACGGAGUUGACGAUUGACGGAGCGAAGCGACGUCAAAGCGUUCAUUAAAGUCGAGUUGGCUUAGGGAUACGUUCGUUGGGUAGGGGAGCGUUCUGUAAGCCUGUGAAGGUGUGUCGUGAGGCAUGCUGGAGGUAUCAGAAGUGCGAAUGCUGACAUAAGUAACGAUAAAGCGGGUGAAAAGCCCGCUCGCCGGAAGACCAAGGGUUCCUGUCCAACGUUAAUCGGGGCAGGGUGAGUCGACCCCUAAGGCGAGGCCGAAAGGCGUAGUCGAUGGGAAACGGGUUAAUAUUCCCGUACUUGGUGUUACUGCGAAGGGGGGACGGAGAAGGCUAUGUUGGCCGGGCGACGGUUGUCCCGGUUUAAGCGUGUAGGUGUGUGUUCCAGGUAAAUCCGGUUCACUUUAACACUGAGGCGUGA
rnacentral:rRNA from 1 species